UCGAGCGGUAGCACAAGAGAGCUUGCUCUCUGGGUGACGAGCGGCGGACGGGUGAGUAAUGUCUGGGAAACUGCCUGAUGGAGGGGGAUAACUACUGGAAACGGUAGCUAAUACCGCAUAACGUCGCAAGACCAAAGAGGGGGACCUUCGGGCCUCUUGCCAUCAGAUGUGCCCAGAUGGGAUUAGCUAGUAGGUGGGGUAAUGGCUCACCUAGGCGACGAUCCCUAGCUGGUCUGAGAGGAUGACCAGCCACACUGGAACUGAGACACGGUCCAGACUCCUACGGGAGGCAGCAGUGGGGAAUAUUGCACAAUGGGCGCAAGCCUGAUGCAGCCAUGCCGCGUGUGUGAAGAAGGCCUUCGGGUUGUAAAGCACUUUCAGCGAGGAGGAAGGUGGUGAACUUAAUACGUUCAUCAAUUGACGUUACUCGCAGAAGAAGCACCGGCUAACUCCGUGCCAGCAGCCGCGGUAAUACGGAGGGUGCAAGCGUUAAUCGGAAUUACUGGGCGUAAAGCGCACGCAGGCGGUUUGUUAAGUCAGAUGUGAAAUCCCCGGGCUCAACCUGGGAACUGCAUUUGAAACUGGCAAGCUAGAGUCUCGUAGAGGGGGGUAGAAUUCCAGGUGUAGCGGUGAAAUGCGUAGAGAUCUGGAGGAAUACCGGUGGCGAAGGCGGCCCCCUGGACGAAGACUGACGCUCAGGUGCGAAAGCGUGGGGAGCAAACAGGAUU
rnacentral:rRNA from 1 species